AAUCAACGCUGGCGGCGUGCCUCAGACAUGCAAGUCGAACGAGAAAGUCCCCGUUCGGGGGGUGAGUAAAGUGGCGCACGGGUGAGUAACACGUAGGUAAUCUACCUUCGGGUGGGGAAUAACCCAGGGAAACUUGGGCUAACACCGCAUAAUGCAGCGGCACCACAUGGUGACAGUUGUUAAAGCGGGGGAUUUUAGGACCUCGCGCCUGAAGAGGAGCCUGCGGCGGAUUAGCUAGUUGGGUAGGGUAACGGCUUACCAAGGCGACGAUCCGUAACCGGCCUGAGAGGGCGGUCGGUCACACUGACACUGACAUACGGGUCAGAC
rnacentral:rRNA from 1 species